UACGGGGGGGGGCAAGCGUUGUUCGGAAUUACUGGGCGUAAAGGGCUCGUAGGUGGCCAACUAAGUCAGACGUGAAAUCCCUCGGCUUAACCGGGGAACUGCGUCUGAUACUGGAUGGCUAGAGAUUGGGAGAGGGAUGCGGAAUUCCAGGUGUAGCGGUGAAAUGCGUAGAUAUCUGGAGGAACACCGGUGGCGAAGGCGGCAUCCUGGACCGACACUGACGCUGAGGCGCGAAAGCGUGGGGAGCAAACAGG
rnacentral:rRNA from 1 species